rfam:Betaproteobacteria bacterium RIFCSPLOWO2_12_FTLL_63_13 rifcsplowo2_12_scaffold_2243, whole genome shotgun sequence.
GCGAAGGUGGCGGAAUUGGUAGACGCACUGGAUUUAGGUUCCAGCGCCGAAAGGCAUGGGGGUUCGAGUCCCUUCCUUCGCA